AAACGUUCAAACGUCGAAAAUAACAGUCUCUCGUUCGAAGAAGAAAAAAAAAGAAAAAAGAAUUUCCAGAACCAUAAAAACGAAGGACUGUUGAAGGUAUUUCCGAACCAACGAAUCCUUUCUUCCCUUUUAUUUCAUUGACCAAAGCGAAUCGGGUCCAGGGGGGUUCACGAAUCGCCGGUUUUGCGCAGGGCUGUUCCCUAGGACAAUGAGAAGUUGCUCUCUUCCUACGGUUGGCUCAUCUUCCUUUUGAAAACCGGCCUUCAACCACUCGGACGCUUCUUCUUAUUCUUCUUAUUCCUCCUCCUCCUCCUUCUCUUCUUCUCCUCCUUUGGUCCAGAUGCUGGGAUCACGAAAUCAGUGAAGUGUUCGCGUCGAGAGCCGGGCCCCGGCGUGGCGCCCAAACGAGUUUUAAAUUGCAUCGGCCGGCCAUUUGAAUGCGAAAACACGCGAGGAUGCAAAACGGGCCGCCUAAACGCACCACCUGAUCGCCCACUUCGGCCUAAGAAGUUUCUCUUUCCCCUCUGUUUUUUAAGCCCAAGGCUGCUUUUAGCCAGAUACCUUCGAUUCGUACCACGGCUCGAUAUUCGGGGACGCGUAACAGGCUGUUGAUUAGAAUACGAAGAAUUAGAGGUCGAUUGGAG